CACGGGGGUUGCGAGCGUUGUCCGGAAUUACUAGGCGUAAAGGGCAGGCAGGCGGAUCCAUAAGUUUAUCGUUUAAGGCGUCGGCUUAACCGGCGUAGGGCGGUAGAUACUGUGGAUCUGGAAUGCGGUUGGGGAAGACAGAAUUCCUGGUGUAGCGGUGGAAUGCGCAGAGAUCAGGAGGAAUACCGAAGGCGAAGGCAGUCUUCCAAGCCGUUAUUGACGAUCAACUGCGAAGGUGUGGGUAUCAAACAGGAUUAGAUACCCUGGUAGUCCCU
rnacentral:rRNA from 1 species